rnacentral:rRNA from 1 species
GAUGAACGCUAGCGGCGUGCCUAACACAUGCAAGUCGAACGUGAAGAUGACUUCGGUCAUCUGAAAGUGGCGGACGGGUGAGUAACACGUAGGUGACCUGCCUUUGAGUGGGGGAUAACCAUUAGAAAUGAUGGCUAAUACCGCAUGGGUUGGUGAUGUAGGGAUACAUUGCCAAUAAAGCUCAGGUGCUCGGAGAGGGGCCUACGUCCGAUUAGGUAGUUGGUGGGGUAAUGGCCUACCAAGCCGAUGAUCGGUAGCUGGUCUGAGAGGACGAUCAGCCACACGGGAACUGAGACACGGUCCCGACUCCUACGGGGGGCAGCAGUGAGGAAUAUUCGGCAAUGGGGGCAACCCUGACCGAGCAACGCCGCGUGGAGGAUGACGGUUUUUGGAUUGUAAACUCCUUUUCUGUGGGAAGAGCAAGGACGGUACCACAGG